rnacentral:tmRNA from 1 species
GGGGGCGUUUCUGGAUUCGACAGGGGUCCCCCGAGCUCAUUAAGCGUGUCGGAGGGUUGUCUUCGUCAUCAACACACACAGUUUAUAAUAACUGGCAAAACAAACAAUAAUUUCGCAGUAGCUGCCUAAUCGCACUCUGCAUCGCCUAACAGCAUUUCCUAUGUGCUGUUAACGCGAUUCAACCUUAAUA